rnacentral:rRNA from 1 species
AUAAUGGGUCAGCGACUUAUAUUCUGUAGCAAGGUUAACCGAAUAGGGGAGCCGAAGGGAAACCGAGUCUUAACUGGGCGUUAAGUUGCAGGGUAUAGACCCGAAACCCGGUGAUCUAGCCAUGGGCAGGUUGAAGGUUGGGUAACACUAACUGGAGGACCGAACCGACUAAUGUUGAAAAAUUAGCGGAUGACUUGUGGCUGGGGGUGAAAGGCCAAUCAAACCGGGAGAUAGCUGGUUCUCCCCGAAAGCUAUUUAGGUAGCGCCUCGUGAAUUCAUCUCCGGGGGUAGAGCACUGUUUCGGCAAGGGGGUCAUCCCGACUUACCAACCCGAUGCAAACUGCGAAUACCGGAGAAUGUUAUCACGGGAGACACACGGCGGGUGCUAACGUCCGUCGUGAAGAGGGAAACAACCCAGACCGCCAGCUAAGGUCCCAAAGUCAUGGUUAAGUGGGAAACGAUGUGGGAAGGCCCAGACAGCCAGGAUGUUGGCUUAGAAGCAGCCAUCAUUUAAAGAAAGCGUAAUAGCUCACUGGUCGAGUCGGCCUGCGCGGAAGAUGUAACGGGGCUAAACCAUGCACCGAAGCUGCGGCAGCGACGCUUAUGCGUUGUUGGGUAGGGGAGCGUUCUGUAAGCCUGCGAAGGUGUGCUGUGAGGCAUGCUGGAGGUAUCAGAAGUGCGAAUGCUGACAUAAGUAACGAUAAAGCGGGUGAAAAGCCCGCUCGCCGGAAGACCAAGGGUUCCUGUCCAACGUUAAUCGGGGCAGGGUGAGUCGACCCCUAAGGCGAGGCCGAAAGGCGUAGUCGAUGGGAAACAGGUUAAUAUUCCUGUACUUGGUGUUACUGCGAAGGGGGGACGGAGAAGGCUAUGUUGGCCGGGCGACGGUUGUCCCGGUUUAAGCGUGUAGGCUGGUUUUCCAGGCAAAUCCGGAAAAUCAAGGCUGAGGCGUGAUGACGAGGCACUACGGUGCUGAAGCAACAAAUGCCCUGCUUCCAGGAAAAGCCUCUAAGCAUCAGGUAACAUCAAAUCGUACCCCAAACCGACACAGGUGGUCAGGUAGAGAAUACCAAGGCGCUUGAGAGAACUCGGGUGAAGGAACUAGGCAAAAUGGUGCCGUAACUUCGGGAGAAGGCACGCUGAUAUGUAGGUGAAGUCCCUUGCGGAUGGAGCUGAAAUCAGUCGAAGAUACCAGCUGGCUGCAACUGUUUAUUAAAAACACAGCACUGUGCAAACACGAAAGUGGACGUAUACGGUGUGACGCCUGCCCGGUGCCGGAAGGUUAAUUGAUGGGGUUAGCGCAAGCGAAGCUCUUGAUCGAAGCCCCGGUAAACGGCGGCCGUAACUAUAACGGUCCUAAGGUAGCGAAAUUCCUUGUCGGGUAAGUUCCGACCUGCACGAAUGGCGUAAUGAUGGCCAGGCUGUCUCCACCCGAGACUCAGUGAAAUUGAACUCGCUGUGAAGAUGCAGUGUACCCGCGGCAAGACGGAAAGACCCCGUGAACCUUUACUAUAGCUUGACACUGAACAUUGAGCCUUGAUGUGUAGGAUAGGUGGGAGGCUUUGAAGUGUGGACGCCAGUCUGCAUGGAGCCGACCUUGAAAUACCACCCUUUAAUGUUUGAUGUUCUAACGUGGACCCGUAAUCCGGGUUGCGGACAGUGUCUGGUGGGUAGUUUGACUGGGGCGGUCUCCUCCUAAAGAGUAACGGAGGAGCACGAAGGUUGGCUAAUCCUGGUCGGACAUCAGGAGGUUAGUGCAAUGGCAUAAGCCAGCUUGACUGCGAGCGUGACGGCGCGAGCAGGUGCGAAAGCAGGUCAUAGUGAUCCGGUGGUUCUGAAUGGAAGGGCCAUCGCUCAACGGAUAAAAGGUACUCCGGGGAUAACAGGCUGAUACCGCCCAAGAGUUCAUAUCGACGGCGGUGUUUGGCACCUCGAUGUCGGCUCAUCACAUCCUGGGGCUGAAGUAGGUCCCAAGGGUAUGGCUGUUCGCCAUUUAAAGUGGUACGCGAGCUGGGUUUAGAACGUCGUGAGACAGUUCGGUCCCUAUCUGCCGUGGGCGCUGGAGAACUGAGGGG